AUUGAACGCUGGCGGCAGGCCUAACACAUGCAAGUCGAGCGGGGGUUUUUCGGACCUAGCGGCGGACGGGUGAGUAAUGCGUAGGAAGCUGCCCGAUAGAGGGGGGAUACCAGUUUGGAAACGACUGUUAAUACCGCAUAAUGUCUACGGACCAAAGUGUGGGACCUUCGGGCCACAUGCUAUCGGAUGCGCCUACGUGG
rnacentral:rRNA from 1 species